UACUUUAAAAGAGAAGUGAAUGUUGUGAUGUGUAUCAUAAUAUAUCAUCAUUUAGAAGUUACCUAAACAUCUGUCCUGAAACUGGUAUUUAGAGGACGUUACAGAGUUAUCUGGGGAACAUUUGGAAUUAUGUUCCAGAUAAUAAAAAAAUGCUCUACUGCUAACCAUCACAGUUCAGCUGAUAGGCACAAAGUUCUCAAUACCGUAUUCAGCUGUAACUGGUCUUUCCUGUGCGAAGCCAUUAUAAUAGUAGUCUUACCUUCAUAUAUACAGAUGUCAGUUACACCACUUUGGCUCUGCAUGUCUAACAACCUUAACUGAAACUUUUUUAUGCUAGUUGAAGUUUUUCAAUUUAACAAGUUGAAAUAGUGCUUUUUAUUACUGCAUUUCCACUUGUGGCAGUAAAGAUGCUGCCAUUUAGGUCCAGCUUACUCAAAAUGUGUUUUGAAACAGUACAACUAGCCAGACAUCACACAGCAAGGGAUUUAUCCAGUGGACAGAUCUCUGCCUGUCCUGCUCAUCCUGCCUGCUGAUGGCAAGACCAGAAUCCAACAGACCCUUGUUUCUGCAGGUUGGUUGAUCUGUGAAUUGCUUACUUUCCCCCCUGCUUCUACUUCUAACUCAGCCAGCAGGUUCACAACUUGAGCCAAUCUGCACCUGUCAGAUGGCCUCAUCCAUCUCACUUGUGCUCAAGCAGCCACAGGGACUCAUUAAAAACUAACCCAGAAAAUAACCUCUGUUUCAGAGACUGGAUCAAUUGGCUGAAGGAUCAUGCUACAUACUGGAUCAUUAUACCAGAUGGGUCAUUACUGAACCACCUGCUGUGGGUAUGUCAAGAUGAUGAGAGCACAUUUUAUAAAAUGUCAGAAAUGGACAGAAUGCGUGCAUGCACUGACAGAUCAGUAACCCACUUUCUAGUACAGUAAAUAAAAUGUUUGAGAUGACAUUUCUAUUUGAACAAGGUAAUACACUAAGCCAGAUACACAGAUCUUCACAUCCAGAAGUUUGGUCUGCCCAAUUUGUAGAAGAGGCUGCAACCACGUGGAUGUUCCAUUGUAGCAUUAUGUUAACUGCGUCACGGUAGCAAAUCUUUGCAAACAAAAUUUUGGGAAUAAGUACCUUCUAAUAUAAUCCUGUAUCUGGCAGAAAUUGCAACGACAAGAAAUGAGCCAGCAUUCAAUCUGCAGAGCUGAAAGAUUACAAUGUCCUCAUGCCAGAGUGAGCCUUAAAACAUCAGCUUAAUAGAGAGCCCCCUUCUAACUGCAUUUGUAGGGUCUGUGCAGGAAUAACCUGAUAAAAAAUGUUUCUGCAAUUUAAGCAAAAUAUAAAAAUCCUAACAAGCAAUAUGUGUUGAAGAUGUGUAGCUUGUGCAAAACAGGUAUCCCACAAGUCUACUAACAUAAAAGAUAUUGCAACAUAGCUAUUAUUGGUGUCUCACUACAAAUCAGGUAACCUGCAACACACUUCAGAGGUUCACCCUAUUAAGACAAUUUGCAUGUCUAUAUUCAUACAAUUCUAGAAAGCCAUCAUGUGGGAAAACACACAGAGAAGCAGCACCUAAAAAAUGAAAAUGCCAUAGAGCCAAGAUAAAUGCAUAAACAGCUCAAGUUUUGUAACUGAACAUAUUAUUAGAACAAGUUAGUAAAAAGUGUUUUAGGUGAGGAAAGGCAUCUUCAGGUCCACAUUACAAUAAUCUGAAAACUAAAGCUUCAGUUCCACCACCAAAGUCUAAUUGCUGGCUGGUUGCACACUUGUGGUUCAUUAGAAAUACUUCGUCAUAGGUAGUAGAAAAAGGAGUAUGAACUGUGUGGAGUAAGCGAAGGAGUCCAAACCCGUGACAGAUUCCAAACAGCUUAAAUGAGAAAGAGGUAAAUUUGGCAUAGAGUUAAGGGUAAAAUACCCAAAA